GCCGAAGUGGUGGAACUGGCAGACGCGCUGGACUCAAAAUCCAGUGGCCGCGAGGCCGUGCGGGUUCGACUCCCGCCUUCGGCACCA
rnacentral:tRNA from 3 species